UUUCGUGGAGGUCCGAACCCACGAGCGUUGAAAAGCUCGGGGAUGACUUGUGGGUAGCGGUGAAAUUCCAAUCGAGCCCGGGGAUAGCUGGUUCUCCCCGAAAUAGCUUUAGGGCUAGCCUCAAGGUAAGAGAUACGGAGGUAGAGCACUGAAUGUCCUAGGGGGUAUUGCACCUACCGAAGACUAUCAAACUCCGAAUGCCGUCAUCU
rnacentral:rRNA from 1 species